rnacentral:rRNA from 1 species
GAUGAACGCUGGCGGCGUGCCUAAUACAUGCAAGUCGAGCGAACAGAUAAGGAGCUUGCUCCUUUGACGUUAGCGGCGGACGGGUGAGUAACACGUGGGUAACCUACCUAUAAGACUGGGAUAACUUCGGGAAACCGGAGCUAAUACCGGAUAAUAUUUCGAACCGCAUGGUUCGAUAGUGAAAGAUGGUUUUGCUAUCACUUAUAGAUGGACCCGCGCCGGAUUAGCUAGUUGGUAAGGUAACGGCUUACCAAGGCGACGAUGCGUAGCCGACCUGAGAGGGUGAUCGGCCACACUGGAACUGAGACACGGUCCAGACUCCUACGGGAGGCAGCAGUAGGGAAUCUUCCGCAAUGGGCGAAAGCCUGACGGAGCAACGCCGCGUGGGUGAUGAAGGUCUUCGGAUCGUAAAACUCUGUUAUUAGGGAAGAACAUACGUGUAAGUAACUCUGCACGUCUUGACGGUACCUAAACAAAAAGCCACGGCUAACUACGUG